rnacentral:rRNA from 1 species
GACGAACGCUGGCGGCGUGCUUAACACAUGCAAGUCGAACGGAAAGGCCCUGCUUUUGUGGGGUGCUCGAGUGGCGAACGGGUGAGUAACACGUGAGUAACCUGCCCUUGACUUUGGGAUAACUUCAGGAAACUGGGGCUAAUACCGGAUAGGAGCUCCAGCUGCAUGGUGGGGGUUGGAAAGUUUCGGCGGUUGGGGAUGGACUCGCGGCUUAUCAGCUUGUUGGUGGGGUAGUGGCUUACCAAGGCUUUGACGGGUAGCCGGCCUGAGAGGGUGACCGGCCACAUUGGGACUGAGAUACGGCCCAGACUCCUACGGGAGGCAGCAGUGGGGAAUAUUGCACAAUGGGCGGAAGCCUGAUGCAGCAACGCCGCGUGCGGGAUGACGGCCUUCGGGUUGUAAACCGCUUUCGCCUGUGACGAGGCGUGAGUGACGGUAAUGGGUAAAGAAGCACCGGCUAACUACGUG